UGGCCUUAGUGUGAUCUCAGUCACGGGAUCUUGGGGGCGAGAUGAGUUUGAUCAGAAUCCAACUGGCCCGCAAAGUCCCGCUUCUGGGACUCACCCUCGCAUC
rnacentral:pre_miRNA from 8 species